GACGAACGCUGGCGGCGUGCCUAAUACAUGCAAGUCGAACGAAGCUGUUUUAACUGGUGCUUGCACCGACUUAAACAACUGAGUGGCGAACGGGUGAGUAACACGUGGGUAACCUGCCCCAAAGCGGGGGAUAACAUUUGGAAACAGAUGCUAAUACCGCAUAACCACAGAAACCACAUGGUUUCUGUGUCAAAGAUGGUUUCGGCUAUCACUUUGGGAUGGACCCGGGGCGUAUUAGCUAGUUGGUAAGGUAAUGGCUUAACAAGGCAAUGAUACGUAGCCGAACUGAGAGGUUGAUCGGCCACAUUGGGACUGAGACACGGCCCAAACUCCUACGGGAGGCAGCAGUAGGGAAUCUUCCACAAUGGACGAAAGUCUGAUGGAGCAACGCCGCGUGAGUGAAGAAGGUUUUCGGAUCGUAAAACUCUGUUGUCAGAGAAGAACGUGUGCGAGAGUAACUGUUCGUGCAGUGACGGUAUCUGGCCAGAAAGCCACGGCUAACUACGUGCCAGCCGCCGCCGUAA
rnacentral:rRNA from 1 species